rnacentral:lncRNA from 1 species
AGAACCAGAAACUCCAGCUAGAAAAUCAGCUUUUACGAGAGAAAACUCAUGGGCUUGUGAUUGAGAACCAGGAGUUAAGGACACGCUUGGGGAUGAAUGCCCUGGUUACUGAAGAGGUCUCAGAGGCAGAGUCCAAGGGGAAUGGAGUAAGGCUGGUGGCCGGGUCUGCUGAGUCCGCAGCACUCAGACUACGUGCGCCUCUGCAGCAGGUGCAGGCCCAGUUGUCACCUCCCCAGAACAUCUUCCCAUGGAUUCUGACGCUGUUGCCUCUUCAGAUUCUGAGAGUCUGCUAAUCUGGAGGAACUCCCAGAGGUCUACCCAGAAGGACCUAGUUCCUUACCAGCCUCCCUUUCUCUGUCAGUGGGGACCUCAUCAGCCAAGCUGGAAGCCAUUAAUGAACUCAUUCGUUUUGACCAUGUAUACACCAAGCCUCUAGUCUUAGAGAUCCCCUCUGAGACAGAGAGCCAAACUAAUGUGGUAGUGAAAAUUGAGGAAGCACCUCUAAGCUCUUCAGAAGAGGAUCACCCUGAAUUCAUUGUCUCAGUGAAGAAAGAACCUUUGGAUGAUGACUUCAUUCCCGAGCUGGGCAUCUCAAAC